UNUGACUUGAGUGCAGAAGGGGAGAGUGGAAUUCCAUGUGUAGCGGUGAAAUGCGUAGAUAUAUGGAGGAACACCAGUGGCGAAAGCGGCUCUCUGGUCUGUCACUGACGCUGAGGCUCGAAAGCGUGGGUAGCGAACAGGAUUAGAUACCCUGGUAGUNCACGCCGUAAACGAUGAGUGCUAGGUGUUAGGCCCUUUCCGGGGCUUAGUGCCGGAGCUAACGCAAUAAGCACUCCGCCUGGGGAGUACGACCGCAAGGUUGAAACUCAAAGGAAUUGACGGGGGCCCGCACAAGCGGUGGAGCAUGUGGUUUAAUUCGAAGCAACGCGAAGAACCUUACCAGGUCUUGACAUCCCGAUGCUAUUCUUAGAGAUAGGAAGUUACUUCGGUACAUCGGAGACAGGUGGUGCAUGGUUGUCGUCAGCUCGUGUCGUGAGAUGUUGGGUUAAGUCCCGCAACGAGCGCAACCCUUAUUGUUAGUUGCCAUCAUUAAGUUGGGCACUCUAGCGAGACUGCCGGUAAUAAACCGGAGGAAGGUGGGGAUGACGUCAAAUCAUCAUGCCCCUUAUGACCUGGGCUACACACGUGCUACAAUGGUCGGUACAACGAGUUGCGAGCCGGUGACGGCAAGCUAAUCUCUGAAAGCCGAUCUCAGUUCGGAUUGGAGGCUGCAACUCGCCUCCAUGAAGUCGGAAUCGCUAGUAAUCGCGGAUCAGCACGCCGCGGUGAAUACGUUCCCGGGCCUUGUACACACCGCCCGUCACACCACGAGAGUUUGUAACACCCGAAGUCGGUGAGGUAACCUUUUAGGGGCCAGCCG
rnacentral:rRNA from 1 species